rnacentral:tRNA from 1 species
GACCGUGUGCCCGAGAGGCUGAGGGGCCAGACUGCAACUCUGGUGACGCGGGUUCGAAUCCCGCCACGGUCUCCA